UUUACAAAGUCUUGUCUGUUUUUGUAAUCUGAAAGUUUGUAUAUCAGUUGAUUGCGUUGUCCAGCACAACUUACUCUUGCAAGAAUAGUAAUUCAUUCCCAUUUGCAACCCUCGCAGAGAAGAAGUGUGUAAAGAAUCGAGGGGAUAAAAUAUCCAAGAGAUCUUCAUCAAUGGGCAUCGGGAAACAAACAAACCAAACAAGUGACUUUGAUACCACCUUCAAUCCAAAACCUUAAACACCUUCACACUUGAAUUAAAACACAUUGCUAUGACAAAACAGGGUAUGCCAUCAUCGUGUCCUGCAAAGUACAUGUUUUUGUUAGCUCCAGGGUGUGAGGACGUCCACACCACCUUCAUUCCGCUCUCUCCCGAGACAACAUCAAAACAUUCGUGAAUGACGACAACCUUGAUAAAGGAGACGAGGUUGGGCCGUCAUUGUCCGAAGCAAUCCACCACUCACAACUUGCAAUUGUGGUUUUCUCGGAAAGCUAUGUUGAUUCAUAGUGGUGCUUGAAUGAGCUGGUGGAAAUACUGCAGUGCAGAAAAACUAAGGGAAUGACUUAUGUCUACUAAGAGCUUUAACUCAAAUGGUUGAGCACAACGUGUGAGUUGUUGUAAGUUACCUGUCUUCAAUUUUUAUGGGUAUUUUUUUUUUUUUUUUACUUAUGUCUUUAUUAUUCUUUGCCUCAUGCUUUCUGUGACACGGCCACGUGGCAAUUGCAGAUAUUUUGAAUUUCGAUCUAUUCUGUAUCUUCCACAGCUUAGCUUAUGCAGUUUGACAACUCAUUUGGUUUGGAAGUGAAUGUUGAAAAAGAGUUUUCUUAUCCACUUGUCAUCAAAGAUGCUUCUAUGAUCAUUAUAAAUUCUAUUCCUGAAGGGUAUAUUGGUGCACUAGAUCAGGACUGAUUUAAUUUGCAACAAGGCCAUGUGGCCAUACAUUAAGACCGAUUCUGUAAGCACUGGGAUUGGAAAAUGCAGAACAGAUACAUUUAGAGUGUGUCUCGAUGAGAAAAUUUAAUUAAAUUUUUUUAUUUUUAAAAUUUUGUUUGGAUAAAAAAGUUUAAAAUUGUGAGACUGAAAGAAAAUUGAAUGCAAUGAGAAGAGCCAUGUGUCUCUGACAUAAAAAGAAAUGAGGUAUACUAUCCUUAGGUAAAAAAGAAUUCCGUAGCCUUAAUUGGAGGCGACAUAUACUAUCCUCGCCAGCCUCGCGGUCGCAAAUUUGCAAUUGAUUAGUCAAUGGUAGAAAGAAAUCUGAAUCAUUGGAACUAUUACUGUAAAAUAUAACAGAAAGAUCUGUAGAAUAUUUGGAGUAUUCAUUUGUGAAGUGAGGGUCACAGUUGAUUGCUUUGUCCGCUAUACUACAACUAUACUAGUACUCUUGUAUCAAUAGUAAUUCCAAUUUGCAACCCUCCCAGUUCCAGAGAAGAAGUACAAUGGUGAAACACGGCAUGUCAUCAUCAUGUCCUAGGAAGUACGAUGUGCCAAGCAAUCCAGGACUCGCAGUUUGCCAUCGUGGUUUUCUCCGAAAACUAUGCUGACUCAAAAUGGUGCUUGAAAGAACUGGUGCAAAUACUGCACUGCAGAAAAACUCAGGGAUUGGUAGUCACACCCGUCUUCUACCAAGUAGAUCCAUCGCACAUAAGGAAGUGUAGUGGCAGUUACGGUGAAGCAAUCGCAAAACACAAAGACAACGAAUCCUUCCAAGACUGGAAAGCUGCUCUCGCUGAAGCUGCCAAUAUAUCUGGAUGGGCCUCUCUUAGCCGUCAUUACAAGAAUGAGUCUCAACUAAUAGAGAAAAUUGUGCUAGAUGUGUCCGAGAAGUUGAGCCUGAGGUCCCCUUUUAAACUAAAUGUAGAAGACUAUGUUCAAAUUGAAAAAAAAAAUUGUGAAGAAGUCAAACUGUUGCUGUCCAAAAGCCAAGAUCGGUUACACGAAAAUGUUCACGUAAUUGGAAUUUGGGGCAUGGGAGGGAUUGGAAAGACAACUAUUGCCAAAGCCGUAUUUUCUCAACUCUUUCCGCAAUAUGAUGCUGUCUAGAGAGGAAUCUGAAAGGAUGCCACUAACAUCUUUGUGCGAUAAGCUUCUUUCUAAGUUACUUAAGGCAGGUUAUCAUGAAUAUAAUCUUGCAGGAUCCACAGACCUUAUGAGAAGGUUCCGUGAUAAAAAAGUUUUGAUUGUACUUGAUGAUGUGGAUAGUUUUGAUCAAUUAGAUAAGUUGUGUGAAGCAUGUAACUAUGUAGGUCCAGAUAGUAAACUUAUUAUAACAACAAGAGAUAGGCAUUUGCUUAGAAGAAGAGUUGGGGACAGACAUGUCUAUGAGGUCAAGGCAUGGAGCUUUGCCGAAUCUCUGGAGCUUUUUAGUUUACAUGCCUUCAAGGAAAGACAUCCUCAAAAGGGAUACAAGGUUCUCUCAAAAAGGGCAGUGAACUGUGCAAAGGGAGUUCCAUUAGCUUUAAAAGUUCUGGGUUCUAAUCUUUAUUCCAGAAGUACAGAAUUCUGGGACGAUGAAUUGAGCAAACUCGAGAACUAUCCGAAUGACAGUAUUCAAGAUGUGUUACAAGUGACCUAUAAUGGAUUGGAUGACCUAGAGAAGGAAAUAUUUCUACACAUUGCAUUCUUUUUCAAAGGUGAACAUAAAGAUGAUGUCAUACGAAUACUAGAUGCUUGUGAUAUCUAACCUACUAGGGGAUUAAAGGUCCUCGAAGAUAAAGCUCUUAUAACUAUUUCACAUUCUAGGAUGAUAGAAAUGCAUGACUUGAUAGAAGAAAUGGGUUUGAAUAUAGUUCGUCGAGGAAGUAAACAUCCCCGAAACCGUAGUCGAUUGAGUUAUAUAAAAGAAGUUUCUGAUGUACUUGCAAAUAAAAAGGGAAGUGAUUUAAUUGAAGGGAUAAAACUAGAUUUAUCAUCCAUUGAGGAUUUACACUUGAAUACUGACACACUCAACAUGAUGACUAAUUUAAGAGUUCUUAGAUUAUACGUCCCUUCAGGUAAGAGAUCAAGAAAUGUGCACCAUUCUGGUGUCUUAGUGAAUUGUCUGGUAAAUUGAGGUACCUCGAGUGGAAUGGAUUUCAUUUGAAGUCUCUUCCAGUAACUUUUUGUGCUAAGAUGCUUGUUGAGAUUUGAAUGCUGCACAGCCAACUUAUAGAACUUUGGCAGGGGGUGCAGGGUGUUGUAAAUUUAGUGCGAAUUGACUUACGUGAAUGCCAGCACUGGAAGAAUCUCCCAGAUUUGUCUAAGGCAUCAAAACUUAAUUGGGUGAAUCUUUCUGGUUGUGAAAGUUUGCGUGAUAUUCAUCCAUCUAUUUUUUCUUUUGACACACUUGAAACUUUGAUGCUGGAUGGCUGCAAAAAGCUUAAGGGUCUUAAAAGUGGGAAACAUUUAACAUCUUUGAGGAAGAUCAGUGUCAAUGGCUGCACUAGUCUCAAGGAAUUCUCCUUGUCAUCGGAUUCAAUCAGAAGCUUGGAUUUAAGCAGCACAAGAAUUGGAAUGAUAGACUCUAGAUUUGAGCGUCUAACAAGUCUUGAGUCACUCAAUGUACACGGUUUGAGAUAUGGUAAUAUUCCGGAUGAGUUAUUUUCCCUAAAAGAUCUUCAGGAGCUUAAGAUUUGUAAUUGUAGACUAGCAAUUGACAAACAGUUACAUGUGUUAUUUGAUGCUUCAACAUAUCUACGUCUACUACACUUGAAGGAUUGUUGUAACUUGUGGGAGCUUAGAGAAUUGUAGGGAGCUUGGGAGUCUAUCAAAGCUUCCACCAUUUGUUACAGAGUUUAAUGCCGUUAACUGCUGGUCAUUGAUUUCAGUGUCCUCUUUAAACUCUUCUGCAUUGAACUUGAAAGGGAAGGGAAAAUUCAUUUCAUUCAAGAAUUGUGGUUGGCUGGAUGAACCUUCUCUCCACUGCAUUAUGAAGGGUGUGUCAAAAUGAGAUUGUAAAAAUGAUAGAUGAAGCCAACACCAAAAAUUGUAAUAAUAAAUCUGUGAAGGUCUGUUUCCCGGGAAGCAAAGUCCCAAGCCAGUUCAAAUGUCAAUCAACAGACUCCUCAAUCACUGUUAAUCUUCCUUCUUACCUUAAUGAAUAUAUGGGAUUAACUUUGUGUGUGGUUCUUUCACGCUCCCGGGUUGCUGCUAAAAUCCGGUGCCAGUGUACUUGGUUUGGAGUUGAAAUCACCACAUGGUGCAACCUUAAUGAAGCUGAAUAAUCUGAUGAAAACAUUGAAAUGGUGACCAUUCUUACCCGAUUGUGUCUGGCCUGCCAAUUAUUUGAAUUAGAAAAAUUUCGGCGCAUUAGUUCACGGCUAUUGAAAGCCGUGGUAGCUGCUAUGGACUUGGAAUCAAAGCAUGGUUAAGCCUCAGAGGCAACUGAAACAUAUGACGAGAACGAUUGCAAUGACAUAAACACCAAUCAUGAGCCUGAAACAUAUGAGGAGAGCGAUUGCAGUGACAUAAACAACAAUCAUGAGCCAGAUUUGAGUGAACAUUGUUCUUGUUCUUGUGACUACUUAUUCAGUAUGGAGUUUACUACUUAAUAAUCCA